rnacentral:rRNA from 1 species
GAUGAACGCUGGCGGCGUGCCUAAUACAUGCAAGUCGAGCGAAGCGGGGAGGGGGGAGUAACACGUAGAUAACCUCCUUUAAGUCUGGGAUAACUUCGGGAAACCGGUGCUAAACCGGAUACUUAGAGAUGGAUCAGCGCUGCAUUAGCUAGUUGGUAAGGUAACGGCUUACAAAGGCCACGAUGCGUAGCCGACCUGAGAGGGUGAUCGGCCACACUGGAACUGAGACACGGUCCAGACUCCUACGGGAGGCAGCAGUAGGGAAUCUUCCGCAAUGGGCGAAAGCCUGACGGAGCAACGCCGCGUGAGUGAUGAAGGUCUUCGGAUCGUAAAACUCUGUUAUUAGGGAAGCGGUACCUAAUCAGAAAGCCACGGCUAACUACGUGCCAGCCGCCGCGGUAAUUC